AUUGUGGGCAGGGCCGUGGGAGAGCUGAGCGAGGAGAAGCUGCAGGAAGAGCUCGCGGACUCUUGAGAAUCAGCAGGGGGAGUGAGAUGCGCCUACUUCUCCCUGGAGAAGCUCGAGGAAGCAGGAAUGCUGGAGAUGAGCUGCUCCUCACUCUCACUCCUGGGUGUGCUGGGCAGUGGGGUGCAAUGUGCACGUAGGUGCACACUCUCCCUGGGCGGCAGCGAGAAGCAGAGGUCUGAUCUGUGGUCGGAUGAGGAGAGGAAGUGCAAGUAAAGCAGCUGCAGCGAGACCUCGUCUGCUCAGGGGCUUGUUCUUACAUCUUUUGCAGGGCUGUUUUGAAGUCAGUAUUCACUUAAGCACUCCAAAUUGUAAGUAACCCCAGAGGUCAUGGAGUGUCCCACUGCCCCUCCAUCUGGAGGCAGUGACCCCUCUCCCACAGAGGAGGUGCUCGCAUGUGUCCAGUGCCCUGCCCAUUAGAUUAG
rnacentral:lncRNA from 1 species